CAUCUAAUCAGCUGCCAGUGUGGCUAGGAUAAAAGAGGAAAAGGAAAAUGGAAGGCCUAGACUGGCAGCUAAGUCUUCUGUCUUCCAUCUUCCUUCCAUGCUGCAUGGUUCCUGCCCUCGAAUCACAACUCAUAAUAGUAUAUUAAUUUUAACAGAAUAUCCAUACUUGUCUCACCAGCAAUUUGACUGUCCAGACGUCUCUACAUUUCUGAGCUUUU
rnacentral:lncRNA from 1 species